rnacentral:rRNA from 1 species
AUAACAAUUUGAAUCGCAUGAUUCAAAUUANAAGAUGGCUUCGGCUAUCACUUUGGGAUGGACCUGCGGCGCAUUAGCUUGUUGGUAGGGUAACGGCCUACCRAGGCUGUGAUGCGUAGCCGAGUUGAGAGACUGAUCGGCCACAAUGGAACUGAGACACGGUCCAUACUCCUACGGGAGGCAGCAGUAGGGAAUCUUCCACAAUGGGCGCAAGCCUGAUGGAGCAACACCGCGUGAGUGAAGAAGGGUUUCGGCUCGUAAAGCUCUGUUGUUAGAGAAGAACGUGCGUGAGAGUAACUGUUCACGCAGUGACGGUAUCUAACCAGAAAGUCACGGCUAACUACGUGCCAGCAGCCGCGGUAAUACGUAGGUGGCAAGCGUUAUCCGGAUUUAUUGGGCGUAAAGCGAGCGCAGGCGGUUUGAUAAGUCUGAUGUGAAAGCCUUUGGCUUAACCAAAGAAGUGCAUCGGAAACUGUCAGACUUGAGUGCAGAAGAGGACAGUGGAACUCCAUGUGUAGCGGUGGAAUGCGUAGAUAUAUGGAAGAACACCAGUGGCGAAGGCGGCUGUCUGGUCUGCAACUGACGCUGAGGCUCGAAAGCAUGGGUAGCGAACAGGAUUAGAUACCCUGGUAGUCCAUGCCGUAAACGAUGAGUGCUAGGUGUUGGAGGGUUUCCGCCCUUCAGUGCCGCAGCUAACGCAUUAAGCACUCCGCCUGGGGAGUACGACCGCAAGGUUGAAACUCAAAGGAAUUGACGGGGGCCCGCACAAGCGGUGGAGCAUGUGGUUUAAUUCGAAGCUACGCGAAGAACCUUACCAGGUCUUGACAUCUUGCGCCAACCCUAGAGAUAGGGCGUUUCCUUCGGGAACGCAAUGACAGGUGGUGCAUGGUCGUCGUCAGCUCGUGUCGUGAGAUGUUGGGUUAAGUCCCGCAACGAGCGCAACCCUUGUUACUAGUUGCCAGCAUUCAGUUGGGCACUCUAGUGAGACUGCCGGUGACAAACCGGAGGAAGGUGGGGACGACGUCAGAUCAUCAUGCCCCUUAUGACCUGGGCUACACACGUGCUACAAUGGACGGUACAACGAGUCGCGAACUCGCGAGGGCAAGCUAAUCUCUUAAAACAGUUGUCAGUUAGG